UAAGCGUACACGGUGGAUGCCCUGGCAGUCAGAGGCGAUGAAGGACGUGCUAAUCUGCGAAAAGCGUCGGUAAGGUGAUAUGAACCGUUAUAACCGGCGAUGUCCGAAUGGGAAACCCAGUGCAAUUCGUUGCACUAUCGUUAACUGAAUACAUAGGUUAACGAGGCGAACCGGGGGGAACUGAAACAUCUAAGUACCCCGAGGAAAAGAAAUCAACCGAGAUUCCCCCAGUAGCGGCGAGCGAACGGGGAGCAGCCCAGAGUCUGAAUCAGCUUGUGUGUUAGUGGAACGGUCUGGAAAGUCCGACGGUACAGGGUGAUAGUCCCGUACACCAAAAUGCACAGGCUGUGAACUCGAAGAGUAGGGCGGGACACGUGGUAUCCUGUCUGAAUAUGGGGGGACCAUCCUCCAAGGCUAAAUACUCCUGACUGACCGAUAGUGAACCAGUACCGUGAGGGAAAGGCGAAAAGAACCCCGGCGAGGGGAGUGAAAAAGAACCUGAAACCGUGUACGUA
rnacentral:rRNA from 1 species